AAAAUGAUUUAGUCAUGGUCACCCUAUAAUCUAUAAUUUACAAUAUACAUGCAACUCCUUGACCCCCGUUAAAAACAAAUAUAAAUUAAACAUAAUAAUUAACGCCUGCAGUAAUAAGUUCUGCCACACUAAUAAAAGUUAAAACCGGUAAUUAUUAUUAGCAUAAAUAAAAGAAGUGCCAGCAAUUGCGGUUAUACUUCAUGUGCAAGAUUAUAAUCCCAUAAAACUAGAAACUAAUAAAGGACCAACAAGAAACAUAAUAAAAAAGUGCAAUAUUAUAAAAAUUAAACCCAUAUUUCUCCCAUAAAAAUCUAAGAAACCAUAAACUUAAACAAGGAUUAGAUACCCUUCUAUAUUACGGCGCCUCUAUAAUUUAGGAUAGUAAUCUUCCAUCAACGAAAUCCAAAUGACAUGGCGGCGAUUCAACCCCAUCAGAGGGGCCUGCUCUAGAAUUGAUAAUCCACAUUAACACUCCCUUAAUCUUGAAUUUACCAGCCUAUGUAUGGCCGCCGCAAGUCUAACUUGAUAAAGUCAAACUAAAGAUUCCAAUCAUCCUUAUGACAGGUCAUUAUUUAGCCCAUGAUUAAGAUAAAAGUAGGCCACAUAUAAAAUAUACAUUAAAUGAAUUAAGUUAUAAUAAUUACUCAUGAAACCGGAUUUGAUAGUAAUAAUAAUUUAACAUAUAAUUAUGAACUAAGCCAACCGAAUCGUGCACAAAUCGCCCGGCCCUCUACCCAAAUUAAGGGGAGAUAAGCCGUAACAAAGUAGAUGUAGUGGAAAUUGCAUCUAAUAUGUU
rnacentral:ncRNA from 1 species